rnacentral:tRNA from 1 species
GGGUUGAUAGCUCAGUGGGUUGAGCGCGGUGCUGAUAACACCAAGAUCAUGAGUUCGAUUCCCGUUUGGUCCC